rnacentral:lncRNA from 1 species
GCCGGCCAAAUCUUUUUCAUCUCUUAUACGUGAAACAAAAACAUGUAAAAAUAAACACCACCUUCGCCUAUUAGUGAAACACAAGAAGAGUGUGCAUUUGUAAAAAUGUGAGUAUAAAUGCCAAUAACCGUGGACUUGUGGAGGGCAAAAGCUGAAGAACUGCUGAAGAACUAUCCUCCGUUGAAACAUUUAUGUUAUGCCAAUGUCCAUGGGUUGGAAUUACCUUAUCAAGAAUGCAGUCAAUACAUCCCUGGAGUUGCCUAAGUUGCCUCUGAAGCUUUGUGUAGAGUUGUGGAACCGUUUGCAGUUAUUUCUCUUGAUAUAUGAGAUGGAAGGCCUUGAUCCAAAACUAGUCAUUCCAGAUACCACCGAUAUAAAUAGCAUUUAUCAAUAACCAUAAUAUCUGAACAGCGUAGUAGUUCAUCAGAUAAUCCCACUUGUUCUUUGAUCAAUAACCAUCAUAUCAGAAUGGCGUAGUAUUUCAUCAGAUAAUCCCACUUGUUCUAUGAUCAAUAACCAUCAUAAGAUAGUAUUUCAUUAGAUAAUCCAAUGAAAAUCCCACUUGUUCUAUGAUCAGUGUUAAUGUGUCAUGGAAUGAGCAUACAGCCAGACCUGUCAGCUAUCCAAACCGAUCCAAAACCGAUCCGAACCAUUAUUUAUGGUUUUUGGAUAUCCAAAUGAGCAAAUGGAUCAGAUGAAGUGGUUUUCGGAUAUCCAAUUAUUUUUUGGUUCGGUUUGGAUAAUAUCAUAAAAAAACCGAUCCUAUCCAUUUCUUCAGAAAAAAAAAAUUUCAAUUCAAAUCUUCUGUUCUUGAAAAAUCCCAAUUCGCCUCUUCUUCUCACAACUUAUCAAUAUAGAUACAUAAUUGAUUGUUUGGUUGUUAGUAAUUGGAAGUAUAAGCUGUUAAUGCUUGCAAUUUGAUGGUUGGGGUUUGUUGAUUCAUGAAGAAAUUUGAGAUUUUCAGAAAAAUUAAUUUUUUUUUUUCGAUUCUUGUCAAAUUAAGAGUAAGUUCUGCCCCUUUGCACCCAUUUGAUGGAUUUUUGGAUGUAAUUAUAGUUAAGCAGUUUAAUAGAAGCUUUAAUAGUUGUUUUGAUUAAUAAAAUUAAAAACCUUCAAAAGGUUUUGAAGACAAAGAAGAAUAUUAUCAUUGAUGUUUAAUGACGUCGAAUCAGAAUAGAAGAGAAGUUAGAGAGGUGGAUCAUGCUCUAGAAGAAAUUGAUUUUAACGAGUGAACCAAAAGUUGUAUUUUUAAAUUUGAAAUUUUCAAACUUACCUGAAGCUCAGAGAAGAACAAAAAAAAAAAAAAAAAAAAAUUGGAGAAGAAGAGAUUUUCAGAUCGGAUCAGUUUGGAUCGGAUUGGAUAAUCCAAUACUUGAUUGGAUCGGUUUGGAUAGUAACACUUUGUAUCCAUUGUACAAUUGGAUCGGAUUGCUUUGGAUAAUAAAAGUUUGGAUCGGUUUGGAUCACAAGAAAAACCGAACCGAUCCAUUGACAGGCCUACAUACAGGCGUAUAUUCUUCACACUUAUGCACAUGCAUAUAAUUUUGGGUAUUGGUAUUUCAAGUUACCAGUUACCACUAAAACAAGGUUCAAUUAACAAAUGAGGCUCUGAAUUCUGAAAAUAUAAACCAAAGCAGUAAGUCAUUGAUCAAGGCUCCUACCAGAAAAACAAAUAUGUCCACAAAUACAAACACAUAGCUGGUUCAAGCAAAAAGCAUACCUUCGUCAUCAAAAAAAUACCACAAUGCACAACCAGAGACCUAUAACUAGGACGGCAGAGUAAAAAGACUGAUGCAGAGAAUUAAUAAACAAGGUG